UACGUAGGGCGCAAGCGUUAUCCGGAAUUAUUGGGCGUAAAGAGCUCGUAGGCGGCUUGUCGCGUCGACUGUGAAAUCCCGCGGCUCAACUGCGGGUCUGCAGUCGAUACGGGCAGGCUAGAGUUCGGUAGGGGAGACUGGAAUUCCUGGUGUAGCGGUGAAAUGCGCAGAUAUCAGGAAGAACACCCGUGGCGCAAGCGGCCACCUGGCAGAGUUCUGACGCUGAGGCACGAAAGCGUGGGGAGCGAACCGG
rnacentral:rRNA from 1 species